UACGUAGGGGGCUAGCGUUGUCCGGAAUCAUUGGGCGUAAAGCGCGUGUAGGCGGUCCGGUAAGUCCGCUGUGAAAGUCGGAGGCUCAACCUUCGAAAGCCGGUGGAUACUGCGUGACUAGAGUACGGAAGAGGAGAGUGGAAUUCCUGGUGUAGCGGUGAAAUGCGCAGAUAUCAGGAGGAACACCAACGGCGAAGGCAGCUCUCUGGGACGUUACUGACGCUGAGACGCGAAAGCGUGGGGAGCAAACAGG
rnacentral:rRNA from 1 species